GGGGGCGAUCGGAUUCGACUGGUUCUCCAUAGGUUGAGGUGGCGUGUCGUGGUUGAUCAGUAGGCCACGUAAAAAACUGAUCACAAACUUUACUUGCCGAAAAGCAGUAUGCAAUGGUAGCGUAAUUUAGCUACUCGAGUUAAGGAAUCCCCGUCUGAGGAGUCCGAAAACUCGUUAAAAAAUCGGACUGGUAUCUGGUCAAUGGUAACUACGCCUGAUACGAGACAAAGUUGUUUCCUGGCUUUCAAAGGCUUUGUUUAUUGUGCCUGAAAAAGUGAGACCCAAUCAAUAUUCUACACACGUAGAGGCCGAGGCUGAGGGUUCACAGGACGGGGGUUCGAUUCCCCCCGCCUCCAUUU
rnacentral:tmRNA from 1 species